UACAGAGGUCUCAAGCGUUGUUCGGAUUCAUUGGGCGUAAAGGGUGCGUAGGCGGCGCGGUAAGUCGGAUGUGAAAUCUCGGAGCUUAACUUCGAAACUGCAUUCGAUACUGCCGUGCUUGAGGACUGGAGAGGAGACUGGAAUUUACGGUGUAGCGGUGAAAUGCGCAGAUAUCAGGAAGAACACCCGUGGCGAAGGCGGUUCUCUGGCCCGAUACUGACGCUGAGGCACGAAAGCGUGGGGAGCAAACAGG
rnacentral:rRNA from 1 species